AUACCUUUCCCGGCCUUUUGGCUAAGAUCAAGUGUAGUAUCUGUUUUUAUCAGUUUAAUAUCUGAUGUGUGGACUACAUGUCCACAAUGAUAUUAAAUUUAUUUUUUGUGGGGUGGGCCAAUCACAGUAGCUUGCUGCUGGGGUCCACACGCGUCCCCUGGGCUUUACACUGCUCCCCUGGCCCGGCGCACCACAA
rnacentral:snRNA from 1 species